rnacentral:rRNA from 1 species
AUUGAACGUUGGCGGCAGGCCUAACACAUGCAAGUCGAACGGUAACAGGAAGAAGCUUGCUUCUUUGCUGACGAGUGGCGGACGGGUGAGUAAUGUCUGGGAAACUGCCUGAUGGAGGGGGAUAACUACUGGAAACGGUAGCUAAUACCGCAUAACGUCGCAAGACCAAAGAGGGGGACCUUCGGGCCUCUUGCCAUCGGAUGUGCCCAGAUGGGAUUAGCUAGUAGGUGGGGUAACGGCUCACCUAGGCGACGAUCCCUAGCUGGUCUGAGAGGAUGACCAGCCACACUGGAACUGAGACACGGUCCAGACUCCUACGGGAGGCAGCAGUGGGGAAUAUUGCACAAUGGGCGCAAGCCUGAUGCAGCCAUGCCGCGUGUAUGAAGAAGGCCUUCGGGUUGUAAAGUACUUUCAGCGGGGAGGAAGGGAGUAAAGUUAAUACCUUUACUCAUUGACGUUACCCGCAGAAGAAGCACCGGCUAACUCCGUG